GGGAGGCAGUCCCGGCUGCCAAAUUUGCUGCUCCGGAAAGUUUGUGUGUGGUGUUUUGGUUUCUGCUUGAGGAGGAGUCAUUUUUUAAGAUCGCUCAGGGAAACAAUGAGAUUUAUUUGUAUGAAUCCUGAGUGGCCAUUGUCUUGGCUUCUUAACUAUGGAUUCUAUGGCUCAGAUGCUCUAACAUAAACAAAGUGCCUUUCAUGCCAUCUUUGAGUCAUAAACGCAGCUUCAGAUUUGAGGUCAUUAUUGUGCAUUUGAAAGUAGCCUUCGCCUUGUGAAAAGCUUCAGGACAAAGAGCAGCAUUAUAUGCGCAAAUUCAGAUGAGAUGCGUUUUUGGUCAUGUUUAAUGAUGAUUUUUAUUUAGAGGAAAUUUAAAGUUGUGGGCCUACUUUAGACUCGGAAGGGAGGAGACCAGCUAAGGGCAUGUACCCAGGACAGUGAAGGCCCCAUGGGGAGAGUCCCCAGCACAGUUUUCUGAAGCAAAGUCUCUGCCUAUUCUAAGGCAAAGACGGGUUUUCACUCUGAUGACGGCAAACACUCCUCAGUCCUUAUAAAAUGUCUUGGUGAAUUUAAACUUGCCGGGAAGUAUUUUACCCAGGAAACUGAGGUGGUAGUGACUGAUAAUGCUUGGGGGCCAAGAGCUGGCUGAGACUGGACAGGGCCAUGGAAAAAUAGGGGAUGCCACUGGAGAAAUCCCCAAGGACACACAAGGGUGGGAAAGGUAGGGAUGGGCACCAGAAGGCACUGACCCUGAGCUAGGCUCAGCUGUACAGGAUUCCUGGAUAAGAUGGCUUUGGCGAAGGCACGCCGGUCUGGUGGCCUGAAAUUUUCUGGCCAGUCCCAGGACUGGGCUUUUGGGACUACACUGUACAGGACUACACUGGGCUGCCCAAAGCAGUCCUCAGCUAAGCUGGACUAAACCAGAUUGAGCUGGCAUUUCUGAGAUGAGCUUGGGCUGAGCUGAACCGGGCUGAGCUAGGCUGAAUUUAGCUGCACUGAGCUGGCCUGAACUGGGCUGAGCUGGGCUGAACUGGGCUGAACUGGGCUGGGCUGAACCGGGCUGAGCUGGGCUGAGUUGGGCUGGGCUGGGCUGGGCUGAGCUUAACUGGGCUGAACUGGCCUGGGCUGAGCUGAACCGGGCUGAGCUGGGCUGAGCUGGGCUAAACCGGGCUGAACUGAGCUGAGCUGGGCUGAGCUGGGCUGAGCUGGGCUAGGUUGAACUAAACCGGGCUGGGCUGGGCUGGGCUGAGCUGAGCUGAGCUGAGCUGGGCUGGGUUGAGCUAAACCGGGCUGGGAUGGGCUGAGCUGAGCUGGGCUAGGUUAAGCUAAACCGGGCUGAGCUGAGCUGAGCUGGGCUGGGCUAGGUUGAGCUAAACCGGGCUGAGCUGAGCUGAGCUGGGCUGGGCUAGGUUGAGCUAAACCGGGCUGAGCUGAGCCGGGCUGGGCUGAGCUGAGCUGAGCUGAGCUGGGCUAGGCUGGGUUAGGUUGAGCUAAACCGGGCUGGGCUGGGCUGGGCUGAGCUGAGCCGGGCUGGGCUGGGCUGGGCUGGGCUGAGCUGAGCCGGGCUGGGCUGGGCUGGGCUGGGCUGGGCUGCGCUGAGCUGAGCUGGGCUGGGCUAGGUUGAGCUAAACCGGGCUGAGCUGAGCCGGGCUGGGCUGAGCUGAGCUGAGCUGAGCUGAGCUGGGUUGGGCUGGGCUGGGCUGAGCUGAGCCGGGCUGGGCUAGGUUGAACUAAACCGAGCUGGGCUGGGCUGAGCUGAGCUUAGCACUGGGCUGAGCUGUGCUGAACUGGACUGGGCUGAGCUGAGCUGAGCUGAGCUGGGCUGAGCUAGGCUGAGCUAGGCUGAGCUGAGCUGGGCUAGGUUGAGCUAAACCAGGCUGGGCUGGGCUGAGCAUA